rnacentral:lncRNA from 1 species
AUUAAGAUGGUUAGGAGAGGAGAAGAGAAAAUGGAGAACAUGACUCUGAAUUUGAAGUUUUAUGUUAUGAAACACUUAGUUUUAAUUGUGUCCCCUUUACUUCUCUUUGCAUCUAUUAUUCCUAUCCCUACCUUUUAUUUCCUAUUAUAGUUUUAAUUUUUGACAUUUUACCCAGAAUCCACUCACAUUAUGCCUUGGCUUUAACAAACCUAAAACUUGAAUUUGCCUUUCAUUAAACCUUUAAUAAAAAGGCUUGUGGCCGGGCAUGGUGGUGCAUGCCUGUAAUUCCAGUGACUUGGAGGCUGAGGUAGGAAGAUUUAAAGUUCAAAGCCAGCCUCAACAAUUUAGUGAGGCCCUCACUCAAAAUUAAAAAUAAAAAGACAGCUCAGUGGUUAAGUGUUUCUGCAUUCAAUUCCCAGUGGCCACCCCCCAAAAGGGACUCAUGUAUGUUUUUAAACUUGGUAUGCUUUUUGAUUAUUACACUCUCAUGAUUUAUUGAUUGUGCAUAAUAUGAAUAAAACUAAUCAGAAAUAGGGAAGUUACUAUAAAUAUCCCUAGGAAUAAAGAACAAAAAUUCCUUCUGAAUUUUCUCUAAAGCAGAAUUUUGCAUAGCAAAACAAAUUUUCAGUUGAUUUUCAUUUUAAAUCCAGGGAGUUAUUUCUACAAGGAAAAAAAAAAAAGACCCUAAAUGAUAGGUUUAGCUCCACUAAUGAACUUUUUUCCAUCUUAAAUUAUGGGACAAGUUCUUUCUGCUACCUUUGGCUGCCCUGCCCAACACAAAAUAAAAUUGUUGUGCAUCCCAAUUACUUAGCAGAUUUGGCUCUAAAUUGUAUUUUUAUAAUCCUGUAGUUAUCUCCACCCUUCCAAAAAGGUAAAAGAAGAGAAGGAGAAGGAAGAAGC